UACGUAGGUGGCAAGCGUUGUCCGGAUUUACUGGGUGUAAAGGGCGUGCAGCCGGGCUGACAAGUCAGAUGUGAAAUCCCGCGGCUUAACCGCGGAACUGCAUUUGAAACUGUUGGUCUUGAGUAUCGGAGAGGCAGGCGGAAUUCCUAGUGUAGCGGUGAAAUGCGUAGAUAUUAGGAGGAACACCGGCGGCGAAGGCGGCCUGCUGGACCGAAACUGACGUUGAGGCUCGAAAGCGUGGGGAGCAAACAGG
rnacentral:rRNA from 1 species